CCAGAAAAACUGUUACUUUACCAUUUCGAUCCCGAACGAUUAGGAACGUAUAAAGUGUAUUGAAAGAAGUUCACGAAACAAACGUAAAACUUAUAUCUAGACGAAAAAUAAAUAUGUGGAAAGCCACAAGAAAACCAUUUUGAAUCUAAAAUUAUUGUAUCACAGAAUAUGUAACUAUACGAGCAUCGAGGUGAAAAAGAAGAUGAAUUUGCAACAUGCUCGAAACCGAUUGUUCUUAAAGCUGAUUCGCACCCAAUAACGGAGAGUGCGUCCUGCUAAACGAAAAUCGGCCUUAAGUCACCUCGAUGCUCUCUUAACAACCGGAAUUAUCGAAAUUCUUUGCAUGUUUCUCAUCCAGAUGGCGUCAUU